ensembl:lncRNA
ACAAUACUGUGAAUGCUUUUCAAGCAUUCACACUAAUAAUAAAGAUUAGAAUAACAAUACUGUGAAUGCUUUUCAAGCAUUCACACUAAUAACUAGAAAGUGCAUUUUCUGAAGAAACUGCAGUGUGAAUGCUUGAAUCUGAAUGUAUGGACUGAAAUGAAUUAAUUGCUGAAUUUUGAGUUAAAAAUUUUGAAUGAGAUAAAAAAAAAAACAACAACCUGAAUUUAACCUGAAAACAAAGGUGCUGAACUGCUAAAAGCUGAAGGUUACACAGAAGAAGAAGUUGGAAAAAAGCUGAAAAUGUUUUAAUUGUAAAUUAGAAAAACCUAAGAAAUGAGAAAAGAACAUUUAGAGUCAGAAAACAUCUGAAAGAAUAUUAAAAGGUUAUAUUCUUUGAAUCACUGAAUGACUAAAAUGUGAUCCCUCCACUUGGACCCACACAGUUUAAAAAGUUUACAUCUCUGAGCUUUGAAAGACAAGAUGUUGGAAAAAGAACAACGAUGGCGACGUUUUGAGGGUAAAAUGAUGGCUUUAACACUGUGGACACAGCAGCAGUUGAAAGAGAAGUGCUUAAGAUGAAUCUUGGCAGAGUGGCAGGCAGAGCUCGUUAAGCAGGCAGGUGUGAGCCUGGUUGCUAUAGUGACCGCACCCAAUGGCUCCAUACACACGUACACAGACAUGCACCUCACUUUUGCUGCUUAAAAUGAACAGAAAAGUCAGGCCGAAACAAAUCGUUCCCAUAUGAAAAGUACAAGUCGUAUUGACGAAAUUCUUUCACCGUGAGCGACAGCAGCUUCUAGUCUACUGAAUUCUCAGUUUUCAUGCCUGUGGAGUUUAUUAUAUGGACGUGGUGACAGUGUAAAAACACCAUGCUCUUCUGAUUUUCAAACCAACCUUCUGAGCCGUUUUAACAUUAGAGUCUAUGGAAGAGUUGGAGGGAGGAGGCUGUGCAUUGGUGACAUUUAUGAAAGAACCAUAACACCUAGGACAAUAGUAAACACAUUGGAUGAAAGAGGACAGCCAUGGCUACGUUUUGAGGGUAAAAUCAUACCUGUAGAGCAAACGCUGUGGACACAGCAGCAGUUUUAAAAAAGAUUUUAAGAUUAAUUUUUUUGCUCCUCUCACUCUAGCAGUUGAGCUGCCUCACUCUAGCCCCA